UGGGGAAUAUUGGGCAAUGGAGGCAACUCUGACCCAGCAACGCCGCGUGAAGGAAGAAGGUUUUCGGAUUGUAAACUUCUGUCGCAGGGGACGAAAAAAAUGACGGUACCCUGCAAGAAAGCCCCGGCUAACUACGUGCCAGCAGCCGCGGUAAUACGUAGGGGGCAAGCGUUGUUCGGAAUUACUGGGCGUAAAGGGUGCGUAGGCGGACAAAUAAGUCAGAUGUGAAAUCCCCGGGCUCAACCUGGGUGGUGCAUUUGAAACUAUUUAUCUUGAGUGCAGGAGAGGAAAGCGGAAUUCCUAGUGUAGCGGUGAAAUGCGUAGAUAUUAGGAGGAACACCAGUGGCGAAGGCGGCUUUCUGGACUGUAACUGACGCUGAGGCACGAAAGCGUGGGGAGCAAACA
rnacentral:rRNA from 1 species